CCUUUUCUUCAAGGUAAAGACGAAGUCGAGAGGUGAGAUGGCUUUGGUGAUAGUUUGCUUGCAAGUUCUCAAAUGGAUAUCGGGAGCAAACUUGGACAAAGACUACAAGUUGAAAAUGUCAAGGAGACCAGAAUACUAAUAACUUGGUUUCUUCGACCACCCAAAACUGGAUACCAAGCCAGAAACCCAAUCAGCACAAGACCAGAAACAAAUAUCAAUCUUCGAAAGAAGCUAAACAGGAUUGAACCCCAAUGGAGAGAAUAAAAUGAAAAAUUGGGGGUUGAUCCGUCCCCCGCCUCCUUCCCACCCUGUCAAUUUUAGUCAGUAGGCUGUGGUAGACAUCUUUUAAAACAGUCUACUGAUAUUACAGUACGGUAUUACGAUACAAUCUUUUAAUAUACAUGUCCAUAACAAUAGUAUCAUUACAAUCUUAUAAUAAUUAUAGUAAUAUUACAAUCUUCCUCUUACAAUCUUAUAAUACAGUAAUACUACAAUAAUUUUUAGACAGUUUUAUUUUUCAUUUAAGAAUAAAUAUUAGCGAGAAAAACACACAACGUUUCGAUGA
rnacentral:lncRNA from 1 species